rnacentral:rRNA from 1 species
UGGCGGCGCGCCUAACACAUGCAAGUCGAACGAGCGAGAGAGAGCUUGCUUUCUCAAGCGAGUGGCGAACGGGUGAGUAACGCGUGAGGAACCUGCCUCAAAGAGGGGGACAACAGUUGGAAACGACUGCUACUCCCGCAUAAGCCCACGGGUCGGCAUCGACCAGAGGGAAAAGGAGCAAUCCGCUUUGAGAUGGCCUCGCGUCCGAUUAGCUAGUUGGUGAGGUAAUGGCCCACCAAGGCGACGAUCGGUAGCCGGACUGAGAGGUUGAACGGCCACAUUGGGACUGAGACACGGCCCACACUCCUACGGGAGGCAGCAGUGGGGAAUAAUUUGCACAAUGGGGGGAAUCCUUGAUGCAGCGACGCGGCGUGGAGGAAGAAGGUUUUCGGAUGUUAAAUUCCUGUUUGUUGAGGAAGAUAAUGACGGUACUCAACAAGGAAGUGACGGCUAACUACGUGCCAGCAGCCGCGGUAAAACGUAGGUCACAAGCGUUGUCCGGAAUUACUGGGUGUAAAGGGAGCGCAGGCGGGAAGACAAGUUGGAAGUGAAAUCUAUGGGCUCAACCCAUAAACUGCUUUCAAAACUGUUUUCCUUGAGUAGUGCAGAGGUAGGCGGAAUUCCCGGUGUAGCGGUGGAAUGCGUAGAUAUCGGGAGGAACACCAGUGGCGAAGGCGGCCUACUGGGCACCAACUGACGCUGAGGCUCGAAAG